CCUGGUUGCUCAGACGGUAAAGUAUCUGCCUGUAAUGCAGAAGACCCAGGUUUAAUACCUGAGUCAGGA
rnacentral:tRNA from 1 species